GUGCAGCAGUCGCGAAAACUUGUCAAUGCACGAAAGUGUGAACGGGCUACCCCGAGUGCCGUCCGCUGAGGAUGGCUUUUCUCUGCUGUAAGAAGGCAGAGGAAUAAGGAGAGGGCAAGUCUGGUGUCAGUCGCCGCGGUAAUACCAGCUCUCCGAGUGGUAGGGAUGAUUAUUGGGCUUAAAGCGUCCGUAGCUGGCCUUUCAAGUCUCUUGUUAAAUCCAGCGAUUCAAUCGUUGGACUGCGGGAGAUACUGUUAGGCUAGGGGGCGGGAGAAGCCGACGGUAUUUCCGGGGUAGGGGUAAAAUCCUAUAAUCCCGGGAAGACCACCAGUGGCGUAGGCGGUCGGCUAGCACGCGCUCGACGGUGAGGGACGAAAGCUGGGGGAGCGAACGGGAUUAGAUAUGAAGUUGAGUUUUCACCAGCUUCACUAGAAACCCCGGUAGUCC
rnacentral:rRNA from 1 species